GUCCCAGUGGCCUAAUGGAUAAGGCAUUGGCCUCCUAAGCCAGGGAUUACGGGUUCGUGUCCCAUCUGGGGUG